rnacentral:rRNA from 1 species
UACAUAGGAACAUACCCAGUAAUGGGGGAUAACGCCGAGAAAUCGGUGCUAAUACCGCAUACGCCCUACGGGGGAAAGCGGGGGAUCUUCGGACCUCGCGUUAUUGGAUUGGCCUAUGUCUGAUUAGCUAGUUGGUGAGGUAAAGGCUCACCAAGGCGACGAUCAGUAGCUGGUCUGAGAGGAUGAUCAGCCACACUGGAACUGAGACACGGUCCAGACUCCUACGGGAGGCAGCAGUGGGGAAUUUUGGACAAUGGGCGAAAGCCUGAUCCAGCCAUUCCGCGUGAGUGAAGAAGGCCUUCGGGUUGUAAAGCUCUUUCGGCAGGAACGAAUGGUUGCGGUUAAUAACCGCGACUUCUGACGGUACCGGAAGAAGAAGCACCGGCUAACUACGUG